rnacentral:misc_RNA from 1 species
GUGAAUCAUCAAAUCUUUGAACGCAAAUUGCACUCUCCGGUAUUCCGGAGAGUAUGCCUGUUUGAGGCUCUGUUUAAAUAAAAACCGGUGUGGUUGCCGCUUUUCGUGGUGACGCAUCGGAUUUGGGUCGUUUUGUCUUCGGUUAAGUGACUUAAAAUUUUGCAUGUUUUUCUUUGAACGUAUCUAAAUGUUUUUACGUUAGUUUGCGAUAUCGAUUACUUGGUGUGGUCC